AGUGAACGCUGGCGGUAGGCCUAACACAUGCAAGUCGAACGGCAGCACAGUAAGAGCUUGCUCUUGUGGGUGGCGAGUGGCGGACGGGUGAGGAAUACAUCGGAAUCUACUUUUUCGUGGGGGAUAACGUAGGGAAACUUACGCUAAUACCGCAUACGAUCUACGGGUGAAAUCAUGGGUUCUUCGGACCUUGCGCGAUUGAAUGAGACGAUGUCGGAUUAGCUAGUUGGCGGGGUAAAGGCCCACCAAGGCGACGAUCCGUAGCUGGUCUGAGAGGAUGAUCGGCCACACUGGAACUGAGACACGGUCCAGACUCCUACGGGAGGCAGCAGUAGGGAAUAUUGGACAAUGGGCGCAAGCCUGAUGCAGCCAUGCCGCGUGGUUGAAGAAGGCCUUCUGCUUGUAAAGCCCUUUUGUUGGGAAAGAAAAGCAGCAGCUUAAUACGCCGCUGUUCUGACGGUACCCAAAGAAUAAGCACCGGCUAACUUCGUG
rnacentral:rRNA from 1 species